AUUGAACGCUGCCGGCAUGCUUUACACAUGCAAGUCGACCGGUAACAGCCCGCAAGUUGCUGACGAGUGGCGAACGGGUGGGUAAUCCAUCGGACCGUGCCCGGUCGUGGGGGUAACUAACUCGAAAAAGUAGCUAAUACCGCAUACGAUCUUGGGAUGAAAGCGGGGGCCCUUAAGCCCCCGCCCGAUUGGAGGGGCCGAUGUCAGAUUAGGUAGUUGGUGGGGUAAAGGCUCACCAAGCCAACGAUCUGUAGCUGGUCUGAGAGGACGACCAGCCACACUGGGACUGAGACACGGCCCAGACUCCUACGGGAGGCAGCAGUGGGGAAUUUUGGACAAUGGGCGCAAGCCUGAUCCAGCAAUGCCGCGUGCAGGAAGAAGGCCUUCGGGUUGUAAACUGCUUUUGUACGGAACGAAACGGCUCUGGUUAAUACCCGGGGCUAAUGACGGUACCGUAAGAAUAAGCACCGGCUAACUACGUG
rnacentral:rRNA from 1 species